UCCGAGUGCGAGGGCAUAUAGUCCUCGCUUUUCUGUACCGUAAGGUGGUACAGGAAUAAGGGCUGGGCAAGACCGGUGCCAGCCGCCGCGGUAAUACCGGCAGCCCGAGUGAUGGCCGCUAUUAUUGGGCCUAAAGCGUCCGUAGCCGGCCAGACAAGUCCGUUGGGAAAUCCACGCGCUUAACGCGUGGACGUCCGGCGGAAACUGUCUGGCUUGGGGCCGGAAGAUCUGAGGGGUACGUCCGGGGUAGGAGUGAAAUCCCGUAAUCCUGGACGGACCGCCGGUGGCGAAAGCGCCUCAGAAAGACGGACCCGACGGUGAGGGACGAAAGCUAGGGUCUCGAACCGGAUUAGAUACCCGGGUAGUCCUAGCCGUAAACGAUGCUCGCUAGGUGUGGCGCAGGCUACGAGCCUGCGCUGUGCCGUAGGGAAGCCGUGAAGCGAGCCGCCUGGGAAGUACGUCUGCAAGGAUGAAACU
rnacentral:rRNA from 1 species